rnacentral:rRNA from 1 species
AGUGAACGCUGGCGGUAGGCCUAACACAUGCAAGUCGAACGGCAGCACAGUAAGAGCUUGCUCUUACGGGUGGCGAGUGGCGGACGGGUGAGGAAUACAUCGGAAUCUACUUUUUCGUGGGGGAUAACGUAGGGAAACUUACGCUAAUACCGCAUACGACCUACGGGUGAAAGCAGGGGAUCUUCGGACUUUGCGCGAUUGAAUGAGCCGAUGUCGGUUUAGCUAGUUGGCGGGGUAAAGGCCCACCAAGGCGAGGAUCCGUAGCUGGUCUGAGAGGAUGAUCAGCCACACUGGAACUGAGACACGGUCCAGACUGCUACGGGGUGAAGCAGUGGGGAAUAUUGGGCAAUGGGCGGAAGCCUAGUCCAGCCCUACCGGGUGGGUUGAGGAGGCCUUCGGGUUGGAAAAGCCUUUUGAUGGGAAAGAAAAGCAGCAGGUUAAUACCCCGCUGUUCUGACGGUACCCAAAGAAUAAGCACCGGCUAACUUCGUG